AGGAUCAGCUCCUUACGAGGAUCAGCAUCUAGAGCUAAAGAAGCAGGAGCUGGAGCUUUGCCAAACGGGCCCUUAAUAUAUAAGCUGUGGAUGAACUGACCAGGAGGGCAAAUGGCACACAUGCUGCAGCAGGAGACCAAACUGGUGCAUCCAGCCAAAUGCCCUGGACUGGACUGGAGGUGCAGUAUUCUGGGGGAGCCACGAAAACUGCGCUGCCGAGGGAAAAAAGGGAAGCAUUUUCUUUAUUUUCCUUGAGCCUUCAGUUUCAGUGGCACGUACAGACAGUACAUGUAAAAUCGCUUGCAGUCGCAGCAAGAAAUGGUCUGUCGACUGUCUCUCCAAAGUUUGGCUUCUGAAACUGAAAGCCAUUCAGGUGCGCCGUUCCUGCCUCUGUGUUGUGUUUUAGUACUAGCGUAGAAUUUAAGCGACCGUUCCUGUCACUGCUGGGUUGUUGUUGUUGACAGGCACAUCCUUUUUUUCUCUCCUCUCGCAGUCAACUUUAUGACUGACUGUUCAUGUUUGCUUUUUCUGACGUCGAUGAUUGAACACUAAUUUUUUUAAAAAAAAAAAUCUAUCCUAGCUAGCAUGCUUUAGGCCGGUUCAUGCAGUAGUUCGUCCAUACCAUGUCUGUGUUCACCUGGAGAUUUAAGACCACUAAUAUGUUAUUUUUUCUUCUUCUGUUCUUCUGGCUUGGGAGGACACAUUCAGCCUUUGGGCCAUGUCUGUCUUCACAGCUCGGCCGACACUACUAGCUAGGCCCAAGAACUUGUUGGGCCAGAAUCACUGUUUCUAUCUUCUAAUCUUAAUACAUCACACCUGUAUUGGUCUUAUUAGCCUGCCCAGCUCACCCUCUGCAUCCUUUUCCCUUCCUUCUUCUGUUUCUUUUUUUUUUCUUUUUUUCUUUUUUUUGUGAAACAACUCUUCAUAGUCUCGUUUCUUACGGAAAGUGAAAUGCAUCCGUUUUCCUUGAUAUACAUGUACUUAUGUAGUAGGCUAUUGCAUUGCAUACAUGUAUGUAGUACAGCUAGUGAGCACCAUGAAUAAUGGAUGGAGGAAUCAAGCAUGCAGGUGCAGCACGUCAGCUCAGCUAGUGCUAGUGCUCUGAAUUAUUAUUACUGACGCCCGCAAACAAAGAAGCAAGCGACGCAAUCCAAUCCAGAAUCAACAGAUGUCGUGCCGUCAUGCACAAACGCACCGUAUGAACAAGAAGCUAGCUAGCAGGAGGAGCAGCAGCAGCAGCUGAAGAAGAAGAAGAAGAAGAAGAGAUGAUUCUCCAAUUCAUCAAUCCAAUCAAAUCCAGCGCGAGGAGGAGUCAAUCGCCUAAUAAUUCCUGUGCAGGAACAGACCGAUCGAUCAUCAAACAUAGUGCACCUCCAUCUCAAGUGCUGACACCUCCUCCUUUUCCAGAGAAUUCAGAGGAGCUAUAUACCCGUGUGUGUGCAGAUGAAUUCCAUCAUCAGUUUCCGCGUCUGCGCCGGAUCUUGCAUUCAUCGUGGAGUUCGGUACGCUGCCACUAUUUUUCUUCAGUAGCCCAGUGAAAUUAAAGGCAGGCAGCAGUCCAGACAAACAUGCAUGCAUGCACAAGCACAAUACAGAACAGUGUCAGGAGAUAGAUCUCAGUGUGUAGCUAGUGGCAUUGUGCACUACAUGGAACAUGUAUGUAUCAACGGCGCGGAUAGAUGAACUGGUGCAGGGCUGCAGGCCACAAUGCCUACUUCUCCUACUCGCACGUUGCAUGCACCUACCACACACAGACAGCAGCCUCCUUCUCCUUGUGUUUUUGCUGACAUACAUGCUGAGCUGCAUGACGUACAUGUAGCUUAGUUCACACAUAAACUAGCUAGCUAUUUCAAGUGUACUUCGCUGUGGAGAGCGAGCAAGCAAGUCUUUAGCGCUGUGCUGUACUGGCCUGAUCACCAUACCUAAUUGUCGUCAUAGCUAGUAGCAGCUAAGCGCUCCAGGUUGGGCUCAACUCGGGCUUCACAAAGUGCGCUCCAGCGCCUCCAUAUCUCGUUCGUCUGAAUUUCUGAAAGCGCGUUGCAGACAUGCAUGUACUGUGUAUGUCUGAAUUUUGAUCGAGAGUACGCCAUUGCCCGUUACGGAUGUAAGGUUAUCCAAAAUAUUGUUUUGCAUUGUUAUGCACCGUA